GACGAACGCUGGCGGCGUGCUUAACACAUGCAAGUCGAACGGAAAGGCCCUGCUUUUGUGGGGUGCUCGAGUGGCGAACGGGUGAGUAACACGUGAGUAACCUGCCCUUGACUUUGGGAUAACUUCAGGAAACUGGGGCUAAUACCGGAUAGGAGCUCCUGCUGCAUGGUGGGGGUUGGAAAGUUUCGGCGGUUGGGGAUGGACGCGCGGCUUAUCAGCUUGUUGGUGGGGUAGUGGCUUACCAAGGCUUUGACGGGUAGCCGGCCUGAGAGGGUGACUGGCCACAUUGGGACUGAGAUACGGCCCAGACUCCUACGGGAGGCAGCAGUGGGGAAUAUUGCACAAUGGGCGGAAGCCUGAUGCAGCAACGCCGCGUGCGGGAUGACGGCCUUCGGGUUGUAAACCGCUUUCGCCUGUGACGAAGCGUGAGUGACGGUAAUGGGUAAAGAAGCACCGGCUAACUACGUG
rnacentral:rRNA from 1 species